rnacentral:rRNA from 1 species
ACGUGAUAAGCUGCGAUAAGUCACGGGGAGGUGCAAAUAACCUUUGAUCCGUGAAUCUCCGAAUGGGACAACCCGAUAUCCUGAAGGGAUAUCACCUUACAUGGUAAGGAGCUAACGCAGGGAACUGAAACAUCUUAGUACCUGCAGGAAAAGAAAAUAACAAUGAUUCCCCCAGUAGUGGCGAGCGAACGGGGAAGAGCCCAAACCAUUCA